ensembl:miRNA Mir6984 microRNA 6984
GUGAAACUGAAAGGCAAUGAAGGAGGAGCACUGUCACAGUGUACUUUCUUUCCUGUCUUUCUAG